GCUCCUGUGGCCUAGUGGUUAGAGCGUUCGCCUCGGACGCGAGAGAUCGUGGAUUCUAUCCCCGGUCGAGUCGUA